AAGCUCGUAGUUGAAUUUCGGGAUCAAAUUGUCGGUCGUGCCUCGGUACGUACUGGCGUUAUUGGUUCCUCCCUUCUGAAGAACCGCGAUGUCAUUAAUUUGGUGUCGCGGGGAAUCAGGACUGUUACUUUGAAAAAAUUAGAGUGUUUAAAGCAGGCUCGCGCUUGAAUACAUUAGCAUGGAAUAAUGAAAUAGGACGUUUGAUUCUAUUUUGUUGGUUUCUAGGAUCGACGUAAUGAUUAAUAGGGAUAGUUGGGGGCAUUAGUAUUCAAUUGUCAGAGGUGAAAUUCUUGGAUUUAUUGAAGACUAACUACUGCGAAAGCAUUUGCCAAGGAUGUUUUCAUUAAUCAAGAACGAAAGUUAGGGGAUCGAAGACGAUCAGAUACCGUCGUAGUCUUAACCAUAAACUAUGCCGACUAGGGAUCGGAUGAUGUUAAUUUUUUAAUGACUCAUUCGGCGCCUUACGGGAAACCAAAGUGUUUGGGUUCCGGGGGGAGUAUGGUCGCAAGGCUGAAACUUAAAGGAAUUGACGGAAGGGCACCACCAGGGGUGGAGCCUGCGGCUUAAUUUGACUCAACACGGGGAAACUUACCAGGUCCAGACAUAGNAAGGAUUGACAGANUGAGAGCUCUUUCUUGAUUCUAUGGGUG
rnacentral:rRNA from 1 species